ensembl:snRNA U6 U6 spliceosomal RNA
GUCCUGUUUCCUUCAGCAGUACAUGUACUAAAAUAGGAAUGAUAAAGGGAAGAUUAUUAUGGACCUGUGAAAGGAUGAUAAUACAAAUUCAUGAAGCAUCUUAUAUUUUU